AACACAUGCAAGUCGAACGGAUCCUUCGGGAUUAGUGGCGGACGGGUGAGUAACGCGUGGGAACAUACCCAAAGGUACGGAAUAGCCUCGGGAAACUGGGAGUAAUACCGUAUGUGCUCGAAAGAGGAAAGAUUUAUCGCCUUUGGAUUGGCCCGCGUUGGACUAGGUAGUUGGUGGGGUAAUGGCCUACCAAGCCGACGAUCCAUAGCUGGUUUGAGAGGAUGAUCAGCCACACUGGGACUGAGACACGGCCCAGACUCCUACGGGAGGCAGCAGUGGGGAAUUUUGGACAAUGGGCGAAAGCCUGAUCCAGCCAUGCCGCGUGAGUGAAGAAGGCCUUCGGGUUGUAAAGCUCUUUCGGCUGGGAAGAAAUCGCACAGGCUAAUACUCUGUGUGGAUGACGGUACCAGCACAAGAAGCACCGGCUAACUACGUG
rnacentral:rRNA from 1 species